rnacentral:siRNA from 1 species
AGUAGAGGGCGUGGUGGACAAUA